rnacentral:lncRNA from 1 species
GCUUUUUCCAAGAUGUACACUGCAUUGCAAAAGAUUCACAAGGACAAGGAUGCUGAGCCCACUGAGUUUGAGGAAUCUGUUGCUCAGGUCGUUACCUUAUUGAUGCUACUGGAGACAUCUACCUUAUUCAGCCAUUAAAUUUCUAUAAAUGCAAAUUGUGAUGGUUUUCCCUUCUUGAUAUGUGUAGGCUCUGUUCGACUUGGAAAGUACAAAUCAAGAGAUUAAGAGUGACUUGAAAGAUCUCUACAUCAACUCUGCCA